rnacentral:lncRNA from 1 species
CCCUAUUUAUUUGCUGCUAUUUUAUUAUAUUUGCUACUGAAGCCAUUCACUGGGCCACCUAGCGACUAGAUCUCAUUUAAUCAUACUCCAGAAAGUGCUGUGAGGAUCACACAGCGAUUGUUUUGGACUGAGACUGCAGGCAAGAAACCCAGAGCCGGACAGGACAAGCAGAUAUGCUCCCUCUGUUCUUGAAGCUGGAAACAAUCGUUAAGUAAACAAUGAAAGAUACAGUGUGUUUUACAGGCAAACCUAAUCAGACCCAGAGAAAAUGAUGUUAAGCUAGGAACCAAGGGAAUGAAGGAGCCAGAUGCAGAGAUUUGGGCCAGGCCCCUCACCUAUAGAUUUGGGAACAAGUUAAGGCAGAGCCAAGUCACAUUUUGGAUUUAACUCUGAAGUGUCUACCAUGUUGCUCUCAUGAACUCUACCCUAAGCAAGUGUUUUCCUUGACUACUGAAAUACCGAUUUUAUUCUUCC